rnacentral:pre_miRNA from 1 species
AAUAAACGAAUUUCUGAAUUUUUUAUAGAAUUUUUGACUCUUCGUCUUAUUUAAAUUUUUUAGGAUUAAUAUUUUUAUUAUUAUCACAUGAUAAAACAUAACUAGUACUUUACAUGUGACUAUUUUUUUCAACUUUUUUAUAAAAAUUUUAAAUAAGACAGAUGGUCAAACACCAAACUAGAAAACUCAGAAAUGUUUUUUUU